GAAGAAGUUAAGUACUUAAUCCAUAUAUACCUACGACCGGAACCGUUGCCGAAGCUGAUCCUGCUAUGUAGCUGUGUGUUUUCGCAUCAGCCAUUAUUAUCGACGAAGCGACGACGACGAACACCGAUACAAUAAUUCAGAUCAUGGAUGCGAUGGUGAGUUAAAUCGAGAAUUUUUCAAAUGAGAUAAAAAACAACUGACGACUCUAUUGCCAAUUACAUCGAUAAGUCUAAUAAUAAAUAACGUAAUGCAAGCGUAUAUACGUCCGUCAAAUCAUCGUCAAGCGGAUAAAAGGACUGUUCUGAUUCAUGCAGAACUGUGGUUUCUCAAGUUCUAAAGAAAAAUGUAAUCGAAUGUCGUUUCCGUGUCGAUCAAACGAUGAGAAUGAGUAGUCGUUGCUGGAAAAUUGUCUGAAUUCUGAAAUGCAGAGCCAUCCACGAAAUAUUCAUCUAAAACUGGAGCUUCUAUCUCUCACGAAUCUGAGUUGGUUCCGUCGAAGGAAUGAACGCUAAUUUCGAGCCGAAGUCGUGUUUCUUCGAGAUAUUUUGGAGCAGGAUGAGUUCAAAGACUAUUAAUGCAGUCGAUCGAACUUCGCAGAAGCAGCUCUAUAAACCUACUUUGUGAACGAAAUUAUGUAGGUACAUCGAUUAUAUAAAACGCCAUAUAGCAGAGCUGCGAACGAGUAAAGGAAAAAGGCAACAAAAAAAAUCGCUGAAUACCGAAUGGCAUCAGGUGCUGAGGUGGAUUGUUUGGCGUGAAAUUGUACGUCAUCAAAUGGAUAGGUGUCUGCUGAAGAAAGAUGAAUAGAAAACGAGAGAAAAAGUGAGUACUUACAAAUUUCCUAUCAGAAAUGAUGGAAUAUGAACUCGUGUGUGAGAAUAAGUAGGUAGGUAAGUAAUUUUAUAAUUCUUAUGAGAAAAGUUAUGUAGGUAAGUCACUUCUACAUCUGUGUGACUUUUAUUUUCAAUGGCAAAUCAAAAAAAAAAAGUUCUAAAAUCAAUGAAAAAAUUCUAACGCGCAACAAAAACCUUCAGAUUAUUGAUAAUUGUGUACAAAUUUUCUUCCAAUUUCAAUUUUUUUGAAAAUUUAAAUGCAAGUUACCUAAUUGUGUAUCAAAAAUAUUACACACUACUUGGUUUUCAGGUUUUCGCAAGCAGAUACUCGUAUGGGUUAAACCGAGCGAUGAUAAGAAUGAUUGUAGCAUCACACGAUAACAUAAUUUUAGAAUUACACGUAAAUGUGAUCUUUUUUUUUCAACUAAAAGGUUGUAAAUUUAAUUCAUUUUACGUUGGAAAACAUAUCAAUCUCGAUUAAGCACACAUACUGUACUCGACAGAUAAUAUGGAUUUAUGGAGCCAAAUUCAUCGUAUGUAUAGUCCAUUCUUUGUCCUCUAAUCUACGUAAGAUUGAUGACAAUUUUAGAUUUCGAGAAAGUGAAGACACCAGUGACACAAGAUCGUAGUCUUUGUUCAUUCAGCAAAUAUAUCCACGUGUAUUCAUUCAUAAAAUUCAUCCAUCAGUAUCUCGUAGAUAAUUAACUUACAGGCAUAAUAUUUUGAAAAAUAUAAUUUAAAAAGCAAUUCGUUUUACCGGUUCUAUAAGUAUUUAGAAAAAACCUACCUGUUUAGAUUUGGUGAUAGGUAUAUAGGUUACAAUUCCAUAAAAAUCUGGCACGAGCAUGACACAGGAAGGUGACCAAAGUUUUAUAUUAUUCUGCAAUUCUUCGGUAUUAAUUUAAAUAUACGAGCUAUUUAAGUAUACCUACACUUAGGAUACCUAAAUUAAAAAUUGACACGUCAUCAUUAAGAGCCAUUGAUCGUCAAUAACAAAAAUCAUAAAAACGUUGAUUUUUUUGCACGGAAUUAAUAAACGUAAGUAUAUAUCGAAAAAGUGUCGCCAAUGCUGUAAAACUAUGGCGAUUUAGAAAACAGAUAAAACUUAUAUGAUAAUUUUAUUAGUAUUUAUGAAUUUACGUGCCAAAAUUCAUAAUAGACGAAUAUUUUCGAUAUUUUACGACUUUAGGUGAGUUUUUUUUACCUCGUUCAUCUGUAGUAUUUUUGUUCAAUUAAUUAAACGCUCGUCAUCGUAUAUCUACGAUAUAGUUUCGAAACUGGUACUAAAUAGGUAGGUAAAGGUGUAGUUGAUAGGCAGAUGAAAGUAGGUAUUUAUGGCAUAGAAUUUUUAAAGACUAGGUAAAUACGCGUAGCAACGAGGGGUGUUGCUGUAACUGUGGAACAAUUGGAGAAACCUUUCAAUGGGGGUGAAAAUGAAAAUAAAAGAAAUAUUAUUAUUCGAGUGUAACGAAGGCGAAAAUUUUUUUUAAAACGUUAUUCUUUCUGAAGCUCGAGGGAAAAAAUGAAAGAAUUCAAUGGUCGUUUUUUCAUAGGUACCUUACAUUAAAACGUCGUCGGAUUUUCUCCGCGAGGCAUUUAACCCGUACUUUUUAUUUCUG